rnacentral:lncRNA from 1 species
AUCAACUCAGAACGAAAAGCCAGUAGCUAUUAACAAGGCAGAGGUGUGCUAACCCUGUGGCCACAACACCCUCACCACAGCUCUCAAGUGAGAUUGAACGCCUCAUGAGUCAGGGCUAUUCCUACCAGGACAUUCAGAAAGCUUUGGUCAUUGCCCAGAACAACAUUGAGAUGGCUAAAAACAUCCUCCGGGAAUUUGUUUCUAUUUCUUCUCCUGCCCACGUAGCCACCUAG